rnacentral:tRNA from 1 species
GGAGAUGUACCCAAGAGGCUGAAGGGUCCGCACUCGAAAUGCGGCAGGUCGGUAACGGCGCAAGGGUUCAAAUCCCUUCAUCUCCG